rnacentral:rRNA from 1 species
AGAGUUUGAUCAUGGCUCAGAUUGAACGCUGGCGGCAGGCUUAACACAUGCAAGUCGAACGGUAACAGAACUAGCUUGCUAGUUGCUGACGAGUGGCGGACGGGUGAGUAACGCGUAGGAAUCUACCGAAUAGUGGGGGACAACAGUUGGAAACGGCUGCUAAUACCGCAUACGCCCUACGGGGGAAAGGAGGGGAUCUUCGGACCUUUCGCUAUUUGAUGAGCCUGCGUGAGAUUAGUUAGUUGGUGGGGUAAUGGCUCACCAAGGCGACGAUCUCUAGCUGGUCUGAGAGGAUGAUCAGCCACACUGGAACUGAGACACGGUCCAGACUCCUACGGGAGGCAGCAGUGGGGAAUAUUGCACAAUGGGCGCAAGCCUGAUGCAGCCAUGCCGCGUGUGUGAAGAAGGCCUUCGGGUUGUAAAGCACUUUCAGUUGUGAGGAAAAGUUAGUAGUUAAUACCUGCUAG